rnacentral:ncRNA from 2 species
ACAUUCGCGCUGAAUUUUGGUUUGCACGAAGAUUUUUAUCGUGCGAUUAAAAGGGAAUCCGGUGUAAAUCCGGAACUGUUCCCGCAACUGUAAGUUUAUACCAAACUUGAUUUGGUACCUCUUAGGAGGAUGUUGUUUUCUUCAAAGCCACUGUUCUUUUGGAAUGGGAAGGCAAAACAACAUUGAGCAAGUCAGGAGACCUGCCAAAUUCAAACAAACAUG